rnacentral:rRNA from 1 species
GAUGAACGCUGGCGGCGUGCCUAAUACAUGCAAGUCGAGCGAACAGACGAGGAGCUUGCUCCUCUGACGUUAGCGGCGGACGGGUGAGUAACACGUGGAUAACCUACCUAUAACACUGGGAUAACUUCGGGAAACCGGAGCUAAUACCGGAUAAUAUAUUGAACCGCAUGGUUCAAUAGUGAAAGACGGUUUUGCUGUCACUUAUAGAUGGAUCCGCGCCGCAUUAGCUAGUUGGUAAGGUAACGGCUUACCAAGGCGACGAUGCGUAGCCGACCUGAGAGGGUGAUCGGCCACACUGGAACUGAGACACGGUCCAGACUCCUACGGGAGGCAGCAGUAGGGAAUCUUCCGCAAUGGGCGAAAGCCUGACGGAGCAACGCCGCGUGAGUGAUGAAGGUCUUCGGAUCGUAAAACUCUGUUAUUAGGGAAGAACAAAUGUGUAAGUAACUAUGCACGUCUUGACGGUACCUAAUCAGAAAGCCACGGCUAACUACGUG